rnacentral:rRNA from 1 species
CAACUUUCAACAACGGAUCUCUUGGCUCUCGCAUCGAUGAAGAACGCAGCGAAAUGCGAUAAGUAAUGUGAAUUGCAGAAUUCAGUGAAUCAUCGAAUCUUUGAACGCACCUUGCGCCCCUUGGYAUUCCGAGGGGCAUGCCUGUUUGAGUGUC